rnacentral:rRNA from 1 species
CCCUCAGAUGUCCGGGGCUGCACGCGCGCUACACUGAAGGAAUCAGCGUGCUAAAACCAUUGUCGAAAGGCAUUGGUAAACCCAUUAAAAUCCUACGUGAUUGGGAUCGGGAAUUGCAAUUAUUUCCCUUGAACGAGGAAUUCCCAGUAAGUGUGGGUCAUAAGCUCGCGUUGAUUACGUCCCUGCCCUUUGUACACACCGCCCGUCGCUGCCCGGGACUGAGCCGUUUCGAGAAAAGCGGGGACUGCUGCUGUCGGGGCUUUCGGGCCUUGGCUUCGGUGGAAACCGCUUUAAUCGCAGUGGCUUGAACCGGGCAAAAGUCGUAACA